CAGCCCAAAACGGGCUGACCCGGCCCAUCCCUUCCUUUAAUACCCUUUCCCCCGCUUCAGUCAAAGAGGAAAAAACCAUACAGGCGCUCCAAAACGGACCCUGGGGGUCUCUAUGUAACAACAUAUACAUCCAGGUCAUUCUUCAAACGGUAACUGUACUUUUUUCUUUCCAAUUGGCAACGGAUUUUUUGGUUACCUUCUCUUGUAAGUUUGGGAUUUGAAUUUCAAUUUGACAACCCUCAAGAGCUCAAAUACUUAGAAGCUCGGCAAAAGCCUUGAAUUUUGAGGAAGUCCAAGCUCGUACUUUAAUUUUUGGAAGUCAUUUUUGUUCGUCGAAAAUCGAUUCGUCUGAAAGGUAGUUUGUCGUCUCUCGUCGCCCCCGUCGCUGCACCCUAAAAAGGAACCCUUGGUUGAAUAUGUACUCCUCCACUUGGGGGAGUUGGGUACUCAUUCUUCACCUCUUCCCUUUUUGCAUGACUUGGGGGAGUUGUUUCUCAAUCCUGAAUGAUCCUGAGCUAUGCCAUGUCUAUGAAUUUGCUUCAUCUGCUGCUGAACCAAAGAAGCUGCUGACAUGCUUGACCAGCUAUGUUAUUACUACUGUUUCACUUUAACUGUUCAUUUGUUGGGCUUAAAGCUCUAAGUUUGCUGUUGCAAUUGUUAUACCUAAUGGCUGUUGUCACAAUGAUGUUAUCGCUGUAUUUUGAGCUAAGUACCUCCACCUCAACUCUAUCCUGAAAUAUUAUGGUGGGUGAAUGCUGCUGCCCCUGAGGAGUCUCAAACCUUCUGCUGUAUUAAGUCUAAAAAGUGGCUACUGUAUAUUUGUUAGUUGAACCACUGUCACAUUUGAAAUGGUUGUUCCUACUUUGUGAUAAGCUGUUCAAAUGCUACUUCUUUAUGUGAAUGAACACUUGAUGUGGUUGGCUGCUCCAUUCUGAUGAUAUUUUGGGAUAAAUUGAUUGCUAUUGCUGUUACCUGUUGCUAUAGUAUUUAAGUUGCUGCACUUGAAAGAAAGCUGGCUGCUAUAUAUCACUUUAAGGGUAAAAACUUACAGUAUUUUGAGAUCAAUAUCUGCUGAAUUUUGGCCAUUUAUAGAUCAUUUUGAGGCUCAAAGCACUGCACUUUGUGUUGGUUGGUUACUAUGGCAUUUUGACUUAAAUUUUGGGAAGGUUGCUGGUUUGUUACUUUGAUGAACUGUUGCAUCUUUAGAGAUAUCAUUUUGGGGCUGGAAUUUAUUAUAUGCUGAUGCUACAUGUUAGCAACAACCAACAUUCUUGAAUUGGAUUUGAGGAAAACUUCCUGGAGCAAGCAGAUGCUCUCAAUUUGCCUUUGUUCUGCAAAAAAUGAACAGAUGAUACACUGUUUGAGAAGCUGUAGUUUUGAAGAAAUGCUUGGCUGUGUUUGAUAGAAAAUUGUAAAGUUGUUGUUUCCAAUGGCUAAAUUCGAUUCUGCUUAAGUGUUUCAGUUUAGUUACUAUUUUUCUUAAAGGUAUUUCCUCUUUUUUCUAAAGCCUGCUUCUGUCCUAAAAGAAUAACUUUCAAAACCUGCCUGCUGUAUGUAUCUGGGCUGAAUACUUUCUCUAAAGAUUCCCUGAUGGCCUUUCUCCUUGCCCUACAUUGUAUUACUUAUCUUCUAAUAUCAGCCUGAAACUUGAGGUUUCCCAUUAUUGAACCAUGAUAAGGAUAUAGCCCAAAAAAUUCUUAUUCAAAAAGGCAGAGUAACCUAAAAAUGGUUGUAGUUGGACAAGGUGAAUCAGAGUGUAACUCCAAGAAGGGCUGUUUGUUGUUUGAAGUUGUAGCUCUGGUAGUUCAUGUAUGUCAAAUAUUGGUUGAAUGUUAACUGUCCAAACCUCCUUGACUGGCCAGGGCAGUAAAAAUAAUAAUUGAGUUGCUUAAACAAAGUAUUUUACCUAAGACAUUUAAGAACUGGUUUUAAUGUUGUCAGAUAAGUCUAAAGGUUUUCUCUUUCUUUCUAAAAAAGGAUACUUGUUUUGUCUUCAAGAUGCUCAAGAUGCAGUUUAGUCAUGACUAUAUUUUGGUCCAGAAAUGGGUAAAAUCCUCUCUCUGAGGCAUGUUUCUUAGAAUUAGGAUUUUUGCUAGUUCAAGUCCUUGAAAAACUGUUUGUGUUUCCUUCUUGUUGCUCAAUAUGUGAUACCUACCUUCAGAUUAUGACAGCAGCCUGUGGUUUUGAAUAAUGAUUAGGGAUUGAAUACCAUAUAGUUGUUUCCCAUCUACGAUUCCUCUAUAUGGUCCGUGAGUGAAUGAUCUGGAUAUGUUGACCCAUGUUUGGUUUUCAAUCUUCUUCCACUUGGUCAUGUAUCUUUGAGGAGUCCUGUAAUGGUUCUGUUUUGUUUUUUUUUUUUUGUUUUUUUUUUUUUAAAGGUAUGGUUUGUGUAUGCUAGUGUUUCGGUGUCCUAGAGCCUCUUAAAUUAGUCUAUUAAGGACAACUAUAAUACUUCAUUGUAUUCUCUGGAUGUUGAAACUACUUCAAAGAAGGAAAAUACAUCUCCUAUUUCAGCAUAAUUAAAGGCUUUUCUUUGGCAGUUUCCUAGUUGAACCUUUCUCUUAUAUUGCUUGACUGAAGACCAAGGCAAGCUUGGGUUCGGUUUAGCCUCCUCCAAUAGUCCGCCAUGCAUAAAGGUUCUAGAAACCUUUUUGAUCUUGUGCGAUAUUGGAAUACGGAUGGCGGUAACCCCCUAUAUUGCCUGAAUCUUUCAGGCCUGACAUUCUAAGUUACAUUGAGUGUUAUGACCAGCUUUUGAGUUCAUCUUUCUUGAGAUGCUAUGUUUUCUUGUGUUUAUUGAAUCCCCUGUUUUGAUGCCUUGCAUGAUGUUUGUGAUCAGUCCUGGAGUUGCCCCCUUUUAGUUACAUAUAACUCCCACUUCUCUGGAAAAUGCAUCACAUUUGGCUGUUAAAUUCCAUCUUGUCCAUAAUUUCCUAGAUCCUAAUCCUUACUUUAGUCUGUAACCAGAUUUUGGUUUCUUAUAUUGUGAACUAUUUUGGCAGCCUAAUGCUUCUUGUCAUCUUAAUCCAUUGUAAAAUUUACAUCAAGAUAUGAUACCUUUAAAAAAUAAAGCAUCUUUGUUUGACAUUAUUUUGUUAAAUCCUCUUUGUUUUUCAAUACUCAUUCUUCACCCAUCCUUCUUUUGCAUGACCUGGGGAGUCUUCAAACCUCCUUGAAUUGCUAUCUAUCUUGGGCUGCUACUUGAUGAGAAUGGCCAUCGCCUGAUUUGUUGCUGGUUCUGAGGUCACUACUGCCAUGAUGUCCUAUGUAACAGCUUUACUGUGGUUGCCUUCUGUGAUUGUUUGUUGCUCCAAUAUGGUAUCGAUACUAAACUUGGAGUACUGUUGAGAUUUAAAAGAAACAGAUGCCAUAUAUCAGUUCCUAGUGCUGCACUUUGGGUUUGCUACACCUGUGGUUGAAACUGCUACUAUAUUUGGCAUAUGUUGCUGUCCUUUUGAGAAUGUCUGCUACACUUAAGUUUGAGCAGUGUUGCCAGUGCUGCUUAUUGAGGGGUUGCCCCUUUUGAACUGCUAUAUAUGAUUUGAUCUGCUCACCUUUCUGUUACUAUGGCCAUAUUGCUGCACUUCUUUGAAUCAACUUGUGGCUGCAUUCUGGCCAAAUGUUGUUGUACUUUGGAGCAUAUUUGAUGCUCAUUAGUGCUGCAUUUUUUUGAGCUCAACUGCUGCUGUUGUUUGGUAAAUAUGCUAUAUGUACUAUAUAGCUUGUUUGGAACAAAUGCUAUCAUCUCUGGUAUUUUGCUCAAAAAUGAAUCGGAAAAGGGCCAAAAUUACCCUUGAACUUUGAAAAAUAGUUCAUUCAUACCCUUCGUUAUACUUUAGGGCCAAUUAUACCCUUACAGUUAUACUAUGGGGUCAAUUAUACCUUUAUGUCUAACUGCUGCCACGUGGCAUCAUCCCAGCCCUUCAAAAUUAUUUUACCCUCAAAUAAUUUUUUACCCACUAAAAUAACUCAACCCGACCCGAAUUUUUUUUUCCAGCAAAAAUAAUACGGAUAAUUUUUCCAGCAAAAUAAAAUAAAAAUAAUUCCGUAUUAUUUUUGCUAGAAAAAAAAAAUUGGGUCGGGUUGAGUUAUUUUAGUGGGUAAAAAAUUAUUUGAGGGUAAAAUAAUUUUGAAGGGCUGGGAUGAUGCCACGUGGCAGCAGUUAGACAUAAGGGUAUAAUUGACCCCAUAGUAUAACUUAGGGGUGUUCAUGGUUCGGUUUGGGUCGGUUAUUGGUUAAAACCAUAACCAAACCAAUUUAGUCGGUUUUUAAAUGUCUAAAAUCAUAACCAAACCAAGUAAAAUAAUAACCACCGGUUUGGUUAUUGUCGGUUUGGUUCGGUUUUUCGGUUUAUGACUAGCCGUGACAAUUCAAAUAUUCUCUCUCUACAUUCUUCAAAUUUCUUAUGAAACUCUUUUUUCCUCAUAGCCCACAAGGGUGAACUUUGCUACAUAUUGAGGGAAAGAUACGCUGUUGACAAAUCAGGUGGACCAAACUUGCAACGCAGUUUAGAUUCAAAAGAACAAGUCAAACAGAGGUUUCAAAAUACAAACAACCCUUAUGCUUACGACUUAUUAGAGUUGGGCUUGGAUUGUUGGACAUAUUCUUUUAAGACAUGGGCCUUAAAAAUAAGUGGACCAAAAUUAAAUUAAUAAUUAAAAGGUAUAAAAUAUCUUUAAUUAUUUAUGAAAAGCUAAUAUUAUACAUAUAAAUAAUUAUAAAUUUUAUGUAUAUAAUUAUCGGUUUGGUUCGGUUAUUUAUUCGGUUAUUUUUUACUUUAACCAUAACCAAACCAAAUAUUAUCGGUUUUUCAAAUUUAAAACCAAACUAAACCAAAUGUCGGUUAUUUUAUUCGGUUUGGUUAAAUUUUCGGUUUGGUUUUGGUUUUAACCAAAACUGUGAACAGCCCUAACUGUAAGGGUAUAAUUGGCCCUAAAGUAUAACGAAGGGUAUGAAUGAACUAUUUUUCAAAGUUCAGGGGUAAUUUUGGCCCUUUUCCGAAAAUGAAUAGGUUGCUAUACCUGGUGAAAAAUUCCACUGAUUUGAACAAGACACUACACUUGAGCCAAUGAAAAAAUGAUUUUUGAGGCCAUGCCUAGUCCGGAAAGGUUAUCCCUCGGUUUAGGAAAGGAUGAUCUCGCAUUGAUAUCACGAGGUAGGAACCAACAUGCGCUUGGCAAGGCAACUAGAAUGGCCCCUAGUUUACAGCCACGACAUGAUUUGGGUUCCUUUGCCAUAUUCGGAACCGUGAGUCUGAGUCUCCAUAAUCAAAGCUCUCAAAGUUUAAUGCGAGUCCAAGGGAUAUUAUAAUUUAUGUUUCCCAAAACGUCACCCUAUGGGGUGGCGUGUCAUUUUGACUAACUAUUUUUCUUUUCAUUGUGCAAGGAACCAACAUAACAAGCACGGAAAGCAAAAGCUGGAGGACAAAAUAAAAGGAUCAGAUACUUGGAGCUUCGGAUGAAAGAUUAGAAGAAGAAAGAGAACAAGGCUGCUGAAUGAUUUGGGCCCAAGGCCGUAAAAGCUAAACUUUCUUUCUUUCCUUUAGUAUAAAUUUUACAUUAUUUUUUGUAUGAUAUGCAAAUACAUUUGUAUAGAUAUUGAAACCCCUACAGGUUAUAACUGUUGAGUUAUAAAAGAAACCGAUGCCAUAUAACA